GUUGUAUGGUUAAGUGACUAAGCGUACACGGUGGAUGCCUUGGCAGUUGGAGGCGAUGAAGGACGUACUAACUUGCGAUAAGCCUAGUCAAGCCAGUAAGAGGCGCUUGAGACUAGGAUUUCCGAAUGGGGAAACCCACCUGCUUGCAGGUAUCGUUAACUGAAUACAUAGGUUAACGAGGCGAACGCGGAGAACUGAAACAUCUAAGUACCCGUAGGAAAAGAAAUCAACCGAGAUUCCGAAAGUAGCGGCGAGCGAAAUCGGACCAGCCCUUAAGCUUUAGUGUAGUUAGUGGAACAUGUUGGAAAGCAUGACGAAACAGGGUGAUAGUCCCGUACACAAAAACUUAUCUAAAGUGAAAUCGAGUAGGUCGGAGCACGUGAAACUUUGACUGAAUAUGGGGGGACCAUCCUCCAAGGCUAAAUACUCCCAACUGACCGAUAGUGAACCAGUACCGUGAGGGAAAGGCGAAAAGAACCCCUGUGAGGGGAGUGAAAUAGAACCUGAAACCGUGUACGUACAAGCAGUAGGAGCCUACUUGUUGGGUGACUGCGUACCUUUUGUAUAAUGGGUCAGCGACUUAUAUUCUGUAGCGAGGUUAACCAUUUAGGGGAGCCGUAGCGAAAGCGAGUCUUAACUGGGCGCUUAAGUUGCAGGGUAUAGACCCGAAACCCGGUGAUCUAGCCAUGGGCAGGUUGAAGGUUGAGUAACAUCAACUGGAGGACCGAACCCACUAACGUUGAAAAGUUAGGGGAUGACCUGUGGCUAGGAGUGAAAGGCUAAUCAAACCGGGAGAUAGCUGGUUCUCCCCGAAAUCUAUUUAGGUAGAGCCUCGGACGAAUACUUACGGGGGUAGAGCACUGUUAAGGCUAGGGGGUCAUCCCGACUUACCAACCCUUUGCAAACUCCGAAUACCGUAAAGUAAUAUCCGGGAGACACACGGCGGGUGCUAACGUCCGUCGUGGAGAGGGAAACAACCCAGACCGUCAGCUAAGGUCCCAAAGUGUAUGUUAAGUGGGAAACGAUGUGGGAAGGCUAAAACAGCUAGGAGGUUGGCUUAGAAGCAGCCACCCUUUAAAGAAAGCGUAAUAGCUCACUAGUCGAGUCGGCCUGCGCGGAAGAUGUAACGGGGCUAAACAUACCACCGAAGCUACGGCUGCGUACGUAAGUAUGCGGGGUAGGGGAGCGUUCUGUAAGUGGCUGAAGGUGUGCCGGGAGGCAUGCUGGACAUAUCAGAAGUGCGAAUGCUGACAUGAGUAACGACAAGAGGAGUGAAAAACUCCUCCGCCGGAAGACCAAGGGUUCCUAUCCCAUGUUAAUCAGGGUAGGGUGAGUCGACCCCUAAGGCGAGGCUGAAGAGCGUAGUCGAUGGGAAACGGGUUAAUAUUCCCGUACUCGGUAUGAAUGCGAUGGGGGGACGGAGCAGGCUAGGCAAGCAUGGCGUUGGUUGUCCAUGUGAAAGGCUGUAGGCUGGUGACUUAGGAAAAUCCGGGUUGCCAAGGCUGAGAGUCGAGACGAGCCACUAAGGUGGUGAAGUUGUUGAUGCCCUACUUCCAGGAAAAGCCUCUAAGCUUCAGUUCAUACUGAAUCGUACCCUAAACCGACACAGGUGGUCAGGUAGAGAAUACUAAGGCGCUUGAGAGAACUCGGGUGAAGGAACUAGGCAAAAUUGUACCGUAACUUCGGGAGAAGGUACGCUCUUGUUUGUGAAAGACUUGCUCUGUAAGCAAACGAGAGCCGCAGUGACCAGGUGGCUGGGACUGUUUAUUAAAAACACAGCACUGUGCAAAAUCGUAAGAUGACGUAUACGGUGUGACACCUGCCCGGUGCCGGAAGGUUAAUUGAUGGGGUUAGCUUAGGCGAAGCUCUUGAUCGAAGCCCCGGUAAACGGCGGCCGUAACUAUAACGGUCCUAAGGUAGCGAAAUUCCUUGUCGGGUAAGUUCCGACCUGCACGAAUGGUGUAACCAUGGCCACGCUGUCUCCACCCGAGACUCAGUGAAAUUGAAAUCGCAGUGAAGAUGCUGUGUACCCGCGGCUAGACGGAAAGACCCCGUGAACCUUUACUACAGCUUGGCACUGAACAUUGACCCUACAUGUGUAGGAUAGGUGGGAGGCUUUGAAGCAGAGACGCUAGUUUCUGUGGAGCCGACCUUGAAAUACCACCCUUGUAGUGUUGAUGUUCUAACUUAGGCCCCUGAAUCGGGGUUGAGGACAGUGCCUGGUGGGUAGUUUGACUGGGGCGGUCUCCUCCCAAAGAGUAACGGAGGAGCACGAAGGUUUGCUAAGUACGGUCGGACAUCGUACGGUUAGUGUAAUGGUAGAAGCAAGCUUAACUGCGAGACAGACACGUCGAGCAGGUACGAAAGUAGGUCAUAGUGAUCCGGUGGUUCUGAAUGGAAGGGCCAUCGCUCAACGGAUAAAAGGUACUCCGGGGAUAACAGGCUGAUACCGCCCAAGAGUUCAUAUCGACGGCGGUGUUUGGCACCUCGAUGUCGGCUCAUCACAUCCUGGGGCUGAAGUCGGUCCCAAGGGUAUGGCUGUUCGCCAUUUAAAGUGGUACGCGAGCUGGGUUUAGAACGUCGUGAGACAGUUCGGUCCCUAUCUGCCGUGGGCGUUUGAGAAUUGAGAGGGGCUGCUCCUAGUACGAGAGGACCGGAGUGGACGAACCGCUGGUGUUCGGGUUGUGAUGCCAAUUGCAUUGCCCGGUAGCUACGUUCGGAACUGAUAACCGCUGAAAGCAUCUAAGCGGGAAGCAGGCCUCGAGAUGAGUUCUCACUUUGACUUAGAGUCAACUGAAGGGCCGUUGAAGACUACAACGUUGAUAGGCGAGAUGUGGAAGUGCUGUGAGGCAUUAAGCUAACUCGUACUAAUUACCCGUGAGGCUUAACCAUACAACGCCAAAGUGGUUU
rnacentral:rRNA from 1 species